rfam:Cavia porcellus supercont2_38 genomic scaffold, whole genome shotgun sequence.
UAUGAGGACAGUCUGGCUGGCUAGGUGGUAAUCCCCGUCCUCUCACCGCUCCUCCAGUGCCUCCCAAGAGGACAAGUGCCUCCCAAGAGGAGGACUGCCCACGCAGAGGAGGACCUUUCCUCAGUUAAGCAUGUAAGGGUAGCUUUGUUCCCCUGCUAGAACCUCCAAAUAAGCUCUCAAACUUAAGAAACUUUUCAGAGAUUAUAUAACUUUCCUCAAGCUGAUAGAAUGAUGCACUAAAUCCAUUCAUGAAUUAAAAUUGAAUAUAUUUUCACAU